rnacentral:rRNA from 1 species
UACGGAGGGGGCUAGCGUUGCUCGGAAUCACUGGGCGUAAAGGGUGCGUAGGCGGGUUUUUAAGUCAGAGGUGAAAUCCUGGAGCUCAACUCCAGAACUGCCUUUGAUACUGGGAAUCUUGAGUAUGGAAGAGGUGAGUGGAACUGCGAGUGUAGAGGUGAAAUUCGUAGAUAUUCGCAAGAACACCAGUGGCGAAGGCGGCUCACUGGUCCAUAACUGACGCUGAGGCACGAAAGCGUGGGAGCAAACAGGG